UAGGGAAUCUUCGGCAAUGGACGGAAGUCUGACCGAGCAACGCCGCGUGAGUGAAGAAGGUUUUCGGAUCGUAAAGCUCUGUUGUAAGAGAAGAACGAGUGUGAGAGUGGAAAGUUCACACUGUGACGGUAUCUUACCAGAAAGGGACGGCUAACUACGUGCCAGCAGCCGCGGUAAUACGUAGGUCCCGAGCGUUGUCCGGAUUUAUUGGGCGUAAAGCGAGCGCAGGCGGUUAGAUAAGUCUGAAGUUAAAGGCUGUGGCUUAACCAUAGUACGCUUUGGAAACUGUUUAACUUGAGUGCAAGAGGGGAGAGUGGAAUUCCAUGUGUAGCGGUGAAAUGCGUAGAUAUAUGGAGGAACACCGGUGGCGAAAGCGGCUCUCUGGCUUGUAACUGACGCUGAGGCUCGAAAGCGUGGGGAGCAAACAGGAUUAGAUACCCUGGUAGUCCACGCCGUAAACGAUGAGUGCUAGGCGUUAGACCCUUUCCGGGGUUUAGUGCCGUAGCUAACGCAUUAAGCACUCCGCCUGGGGAGUACGACCGCAAGGUU
rnacentral:rRNA from 1 species